rnacentral:lncRNA from 1 species
AGGGCCUUUCCUAAUUGCUAAUAGUGUGGUGUCUGAAGAUCUCUUUCAAUCCUAUAUUGCUACCGGAUUUCCAGCUUGGCUUAGUCUUCUUUAUGUUUAAAGUAUGCUUUGUCUAGGCUGCAAUCAAAAUCUGUUUUCAUUUGGAUUUCCUCUGAUCUUCAUUGUAAUCUUUUGAUUAUUAUAUAAAAAUAGUGUUUAAAAAAAAUAUGUUACAGACUUAGGAAUAAAGUUUAAAUAAUUUAUGAAAUACAUAUAGCACAGUGUAUAUUUAUGCAACUUGACAUAUUUAAUACAGCUAUCAAAAUUUAAAUUAAAUUAAUUUAAGAUCAAACAAAAAUAUGAUUAUAAGAAAAACACAAAUAUGAUUAAAAACAUAAAUAUAAAAAUUCAAUGUUAAAAAAAAAUUAAAACAAAAAUAUACCCGCAUGUCAAAGGACGGGUCAGAAUAUAGUUUGUUAGGUAAAGCCCACUACUAGCACGAUUCCACCUACAAUAUCAGUUUACUCGUAAAUUCGUCCUUAAAGAAAUGUAAAGCUUUUCUUUGUAAAGGGGUAGUUACUUUACAAUACUUUUAUGACGAAUCUUCUUCUACAUUGUAAAAUUGACUUAAAUUUACACAUAUAUUAUGAUGGAUUUGAUUCCUCAUAAAUUUGAUGUAAAUUUACGAAGAAUUCCUUUGUACUCGUAAUAGCGUUGUUAGCUCGUAGUAAUUUACUACAACUAUGCCCUUUUUCAAAAAAAAAAAUUACUACAACGAUCAUUUUUUGUAAUUUUCUUUGUUACAGACAUGUUUUAUUAUUGUAAUAAAUACUCAUGAAAUCUUUAUUAGCCACUUGACUCAUUUAUAUUAUUUGAUUUAAGAAAAAAAUUAAAUAGUUUAAUCAAGUCACAGUAGAAUAUUAAUUUUGUGUUUGUUUAGAAAGUGAUUGAUUUGGUGUUCUCUCCGAUAAGGGUGCUCUUAACCACUCAAAAGUUAUCACGCUACUACUAUUUAUAUGGUUCACUUAUAUAUCACUCCCAGAAACAAAAUCCUUUCUCACACCACAAAACAUAAAAAGAGAAAUAGUUGACGAAAUGAAGUCUAUAGUCUUGCUCCUCUUGCUUCUUGCCGUUUCAACCUCAGGGAACAAGAUGUAUAGCUGGCAAAAUCUCACAGGCGUUCAUGAAGAUAAAGGGCUUUGGGAUUCUCUUGCAGGGAAUGGGAAGUAUUUAACCAUUUUAGCAAAUGAUGCUACGAGUAAUUGUGGUCCCAAGCCUGGUGCAUGUACCGGAAUUGUUAAUGGUAUGAAAUUUAGUGAUUGUCCAACAUACACCAGAUGCAAACGCCUCGUGACCGAUUCGACUUAACCUAGCUCAAGUUUCCUCUAUGGCUCCGAAUGGUUACGCUAUGCGGAACAUAGAAGAGAGAGCAUACCCAAAAGUCGACAAUCCAUAUUUACAACUUUAUUUUGUUCCGACUCUCUACGCUCUCUAAAACCUAGUCGGUUUGUACUGUGCAUCUAUUAGGAAACCAUGUGUUUCCUCUUUUGUUUCGCUUCAAGGGAUAUUUAUUUUAUAGAAAUAAAUGUUUCUUUUGUUCUGUCUUUCUAAGCUUGUAUGCCCCCUGGAGUAGUUUAUUGAGUUUAACUAAAAUUUCUGAUCGGUUUAGUAUACCAACCAAAUGAAAUUAGAUAAAGUUAUUAUAGUUUAUACAUACAAAUUUGUACAUAUUUAAAAUUUUUGAAUAUAUUAAAUAUGAAUAUAAAAUAUCAAUUUUAUUUUGAC